AGCAAAACAAGGAGGCCCUACUGAUCCAAAUAAGGAGCAGCUGGAGGUUCUUGAUGAUGAUGAGCUCGCCUUGAUCACGAGGCGAUUCAUGCGCUUCAACGACAACCGCAAGAACAGGCGAAGGAACAACAACAACUGCUUCGAUUGUGGCAAGCCAGGCCACUUCGCCGCCGACUGCCCCGACAA